rnacentral:rRNA from 1 species
AGCCCCUUGGAACUCAUAAGGGGUUAGGCCUGCCCAGUGGGAAGCACUUUCCUAAACGGCCGCGGUAUCUUGACCGUGCAAAGGUAGCAUAAUCACUUGUCUCUUAAAUGGGGACCCGUAUGAAUGGCUUUUCAUCCUUUAACUGUCUCCCUUUUUUUCCACACAAACUCCUAUUUACGUGAAGAAGCGUACUUCAGAGAGAAAGACGAGAAGACCCUGUCGAGCUUUAGCCUACCCUACUCACUUACACUCAUCCUUCCCCAGGGAAAAACCUCUGUAGGCCAGGCUUUGGUUGGGGCAACCAUGGAGAAAAAAUAUCCUCCAGUUUUCUAGGAAGAGAAUCAACUCUCCUUCCCCAUUUUUGAGAACCAAUACUUUUGGAAAACGGAAAAAGUUACCGCAGGGAUAACAGCGUUAUCUUUUCUAAGAGCCCUUAUUGACGAAAAGGAUUGCGACCUCGAUGUUGGAUUGGGGUAACCAGAGGGUGCAGCAGCUCUUUAAGGUUGGACUGUUCGUCCAUUAAUUCCCUACAUGAUCUGAGUUCAGACCGACGUGAGUCAGGUCAGCUUCUAUCUUCUAUUAAUUCUCCCUAGUACGAAAGGACCGGAAAAAAGUCUUAAAUAGUUUUCACGAAAAGACAAAAAACAAAAAAAAAAAAAAAAAAAAAGCCUUCUAUCGGAAACACAAUGUGACUAAAAACUUCUGCCUUUUUCAAUCAUUAGGUUUUUCCAUACAAAAAAAUUUAAAAAAAAAUAUACAAGGGGUCCCCCUUUGGUUUUUUUUAAUUUUUCAGGAAAAAUAAAAAGUUUUUUAACUUUAGCCAGGUGUUAAUAUCAAAUGCUUUUAACUUAAGAAAC